GUGGUACAGUGGUUAAAGUGCUUGGCUGCAAACCAAAAGGUCGGUGGUUCAAAACCACCC
rnacentral:tRNA from 1 species